rnacentral:sRNA from 1 species
GGUUUCCUCUUGGCCUGAACUUGGCUGACCUCCGCAGCUUCCGCCCGACUCUGGCUAAAGUCUUGGAGGCUACUGCCUGAAGAUGACCUCUAGGGACCAGCCCAGCCCCAAGGGCCCCCCAAAAAGCACUUCGCCUCGUCCUGGGAUCUCGAACUCUGAGAGCUCUCCAACGCUGAAUUAUCAGGGCAUUCUAAAUCGGCUCAAGCAGUUCCCCAGGUUUUCUCCUCAUUUUGCUACGGAGUUGGAGAGCAUUUACUACUCGCUGCACAAGAUCCAGCAGGAUGUGGCAGAACACCACAAGCAGAUAGGAAACUUCUUACAGAUUGUGGAGAGCUGCAGCCAACUCCAGGGUUUCCAGUCUGAGGAGGUCUCACCUGCUGAAGCAGCCAGCCCUGGGACGCCCCGGCAGGCGGAGGACAAGACCCGGCAGGAGUCGAGCUUUGAGGACAUGAUGGCCACCAGGUCCUCUGACUGGCUCCGGCGGCCUUUGGGGGAGGACAAUCAGCCAGAGACCCAGCUGUUCUGGGACAAGGAGCCUUGGUUUUGGCACGACACUCUGACCGAGCAACUCUGGCGGAUUUUUGCCGGCGUCCACGAUGAGAAGGCAAAGCCCAGAGACAGACAGCAGGCACCAGGCCUGGGGCAGGAAAGCAAGGCACCAGGAUCCUGUGACCCAGGAACAGACCCAUGUCCCGAAGAUGCCUCCACCCCCAGGCCACCUGAGACCUCCUCCAGCCCCCCUGAGGGUUCCCAAGACAAGAACACAAGUUGGGGUGUGGUCCAG